UCGUAGUACAGUAUGUAGCGCACCAUGAACAUGGAGCACGCCAGGUUGCCCGAGCGGCCAAAGGGAGCGGACUGUAAAUCCGUCG
rnacentral:tRNA from 1 species